rnacentral:rRNA from 1 species
CGAAAGCCAGGGGAGCGAACGGGAUUAGAUACCCUGGUAGUCCUAGCCCUAAACGAUGAUUGCUUGGUGUGAUUGGUACCCAAUCCGAUCGUGCCGCAGCUAACGCGAUAAGCAAUCCGCCUGGGGAGUACGGUCGCAAGACUGAAACUCAAAGGAAUUGACGGGGGCCCGCACAAGCGGUGGAGCAUGUGGUUCAAUUCGACACAACGCGAAGAACCUUACCUGGGCUCGAAAUGUAGUGCAUCGGGGUAGAAAUAUCCCUUCCCGCAAGGGGUGCUAUAUAGGUGCUGCAUGGCUGUCGUCAGCUCGUGUCGUGAGAUGUUGGGUUAAGUCCCGCAACGAGCGCAACCCUUAUUGCCAGUUGCCAUCAUUCAGUUGGGCACUCUGGCGAGACUGCCGGUGAUAAACCGGAGGAAGGUGGGGAUGACGUCAAGUCCUCAUGGCCUUUAUGUCCAGGGCUACACACGUGCUACAAUGGUCGGUACAAACCGUCGCAAACCCGCGAGGGGGAGCUAAUCGGAAAAAGCCGACCUCAGUUCGGAUUGGAGUCUGCAACUCGACUCCAUGAAGCUGGAAUCGCUAGUAAUCGCGGAUCAGAACGCCGCGGUGAAUACGUUCCCGGGCCUUGUACACACCGCCCGUCACAUCACGAAAGUGGGCUGUACUAGAAGCAGGUGAGCCAACCGCAAGGAGGCAGCCUUCCAAGGUAUAACUCAUGAUUGGGGUGAAGUCGUAACAAGGUAGCCGUA